GAUGUCCUACGGGGGGCAGCAGUGAGGAAUAUUGGUCAAUGGCCGAGAGGCUGAACCAGCCAAGUCGCGUGAGGGAAGACGGCCCUACGGGUUGUAAACCUCUUUUGUCGGGGAGCAAAGCGAACCACGUGUGGUUCAUUGAGAGUACCCGAAGAAAAAGCAUCGGCUAACUCCGUGCCAGCAGCCGCGGUAAUACGGAGGAUGCGAGCGUUAUCCGGAUUUAUUGGGUUUAAAGGGUGCGUAGGCGGAAUGCCAAGUCAGCGGUAAAAUCGCGGGG
rnacentral:rRNA from 1 species